GGGCGUGUGGCUCAGUUGGUAGAGCGCCCGCUUAGCAUGUCCAGCUCUUGCGGAAGGUCCCCGGUUCGAUUCCGGGCUCGUCCA